CGAGCGGGGGUAGGGAGCUUGCUACUGGUCCUAGCGGCGGACGGGUGAGUAAUGCUUAUGAAUCUGCCUAUUAGUGGGGGACAACAUCUCGAAAGGGAUGCUAAUACCGCAUACGUCCUACGGGAGAAAGCAGGGGAUCUUCGGACCUUGCGCUAAUAGAUGAGCCUAAGUCGGAUUAGCUAGUUGGUGGGGUAAAGGCCUACCAAGGCGACGAUCUGUAGCGGGUCUGAGAGGAUGAUCCGCCACACUGGGACUGAGACACGGCCCAGACUCCUACGGGAGGCAGCAGUGGGGAAUAUUGGACAAUGGGGGGAACCCUGAUCCAGCCAUGCCGCGUGUGUGAAGAAGGCCUUAUGGUUGUAAAGCACUUUAAGCGAGGAGGAGGCUACUGUAAUUAAUACCUAUGGAUAGUGGACGUUACUCGCAGAAUAAGCACCGGCUAACUCUGUGCCAGCAGCCGCGGUAAUACAGAGGGUGCGAGCGUUAAUCGGAUUUACUGGGCGUAAAGCGUGCGUAGGCGGCUUUUUAAGUCGGAUGUGAAAUCCCCGAGCUUAACUUGGGAAUUGCAUUCGAUACUGGUGAGCUAGAGUAUGGGAGAGGAUGGUAGAAUUCCAGGUGUAGCGGUGAAAUGCGUAGAGAUCUGGAGGAAUACCGAUGGCGAAGGCAGCCAUCUGGCCUAAUACUGACGCUGGA
rnacentral:rRNA from 1 species